CUUGCGUAAAGAUUGACGUGUUCCUUGGAUGGCGACUAUUCACACGGAAGAGAAACUUCGAAAAUGAUUAGAAUACACGUCCAUCCAUGAGAGAUGCGAUUCAAUCUCCGAAAAAGAAAGGAGAAAAGAAGAAGCUAGGCGCCGGUUGUCGACAGGUAGCCAGUCUGAUGGAAACCAAUCAACGGAUUAGUACGAAAGUUAGAAAUGGCGUAUGGCGCCAUUCCGCUAAUACUUCAGACUCGGUCGAGAUCAUCCCGUGAAUCACUCCGUCAGUUUUCAUUCGAAGCACAUACAUUGUUUUCGAUUUGGAUCGACGUGGCUCUUCGCAUGCAAAAAGUUAGGCCCGAUUAGUCGGAUCUCUUCAAAACGUUUUCAACGAAAAUUUCAUGCUUUUGUCUACAGACAAAAAGAGCGAAAUAAAAGAGUAAAUUAUGUAGAUAAAAAAACAUAAAAAGGUUAAUCAUGUAUUGAUAAAUAGAGAACUUUACUAUUUUGCAUCGA